AACGAACGCUGGCGGCAUGCCUAACACAUGCAAGUCGAACGAGACCUUCGGGUCUAGUGGCGCACGGGUGCGUCACGCGUGGGAACCUGCCCUUAGGGUCGGAAUAACUCUCCGAAAGGGGUGCUAAUACCGGAUAAUAUCUUCGGACCAAAGAUUUAUCGCCUUUGGAUGGGCCCGCGUUGGAUUCGCUAGUUGGUAGGGUAAAAGCCUCCCACGGCGACGAUCCAUAGCUGGUCUGAGAGGAUGAUCAGCCACACUUGGACUGAGACACGGCCCAGACUCCUACGCGAGGCAGCAGUGGGGAAUAUUGGACAAUGGGCGAAAGCCUGAUCCAGCAAUGCCGCGUGAGUGAUGAAGGCCUUAGGGUUGUAAAGCUCUUUUACCCGGGAUGAUAAUGACAGUACCGGGAGAAUAAGCUCCGGCUAACUCCGUG
rnacentral:rRNA from 1 species